UCCGAGUUGACCCCGGCAGUCUCCUACGAGUCCCCGGCAUAACCCGCUGGCAACAUAGGACAAGGGUUGCGCUCGUUGCGGGACUUAACCCAACAUCUCACGACACGAGCUGACGACAGCCAUGCACCACCUGUGCAGGGCCCCGAAGGACACCGUAUCUCUACGGCUUUUCCCUGCAUGUCAAGCCUUGGUAAGGUUCUUCGCGUUGCAUCGAAUUAAGCAACAUGCUCCGCCGCUUGUGCGGGCCCCCGUCAAUUCCUUUGAGUUUCGGUCUUGCGACCGUACUCCCCAGGCGGAGUGUUUCACGCGUUAGCUGGGCCCCUGAUCGGUAUAUCGCCAACAGCUAGUGAUCAUCGUUUACGGCGUGGACUAC
rnacentral:misc_RNA from 1 species